AUUGAACGCUGGCGGCAGGCCUAACACAUGCAAGUCGAACGGUAACAGGAAGCAGCUUGCUGCUUUGCUGACGAGUGGCGGACGGGUGAGUAAUGUCUGGGAAACUGCCCGAUGGAGGGGGAUAACUACUGGAAACGGUAGCUAAUACCGCAUAACGUCGCAAGACCAAAGAGGGGGACCUUAUGGCCUCUUGCCAUCGGAUGUGCCCAGAUGGGAUUAGCUAGUAGGUGGGGUAACGGCUCACCUAGGCGACGAUCCCUAGCUGGUCUGAGAGGAUGAACAGCCACACUGGAACUGAGACACGGUCCAGACUCCUACGGGAGGCAGCAGUGGGGAAUAUUGCACAAUGGGCGCAAGCAUGAUGCAGCCAUGCCGCGUGUAUGAAGAAGGCCUUCGGGUUGUAAAGUACUUUCAGCGGGGAGGAAGGGAGUAAAGUUAAUACCUUUGCUCAUUGACGUUACCCGCAGAAGAAGCACCGGCUAACUACGUG
rnacentral:rRNA from 1 species